rnacentral:lncRNA from 1 species
UGCAACAACCUCUUCUGCGGAAUCGACUCCAAGCUCAUCGCGGAGGCGUUCAAUGUCGACGAGAACGUGGCAAGGAGGCUACAGAGCGAGAACGACAACAGAGGCCAGAUCGUCCGAGUCGAAGGCGAGCUCGACAUCGUCAGACCUCCGACCAGUAUCCAGGAGGAGUCACAGGAGCAGGGAGGUCGUGGUGGUGGCCGCUACUACUCCAAUGGAGUGGAGGAGACCUUCUGCUCCAUGAGACUAAUUGAGAACAUCGGCGAUCCUUCUCGGGCAGACAUUUUCACUCCAGAAGCCGGCCGCGUUAGAUCCCUCAACAGCCACAACCUCCCCGUCCUGCAAUGGAUCCAGCUUAGCGCCGAGAGAGGCGUUCUCUACAAUGUAUAGAUCUCACUCACGCACCAACUCUAAAUUGAAUCCCUAAUUAUUUAAUUCACCGAUAUCUGACCGACCGGUUUGAAUUUUGUAGGAAGCGAUCAGGCUGCCGCAC